GACGAACGCUGGCGGCGUGCUUAACACAUGCAAGUCGAACGGAAAGGCCCUGCUUGCAGGGUCCUCGAGUGGCGAACGGGUGAGUAACACGUGGGUGAUCUGCCCUGCACUUCGGGAUAAGCCUGGGAAGCUGGGUCUAAUACCGGAUAGGAGCCAUUUUUAGUGUGAUGGUUGGAAAGCUUUUUCGGUGUAGGAUGAGCUCGCGGCCUAUCGGCUUGUUGGUGGGGUAAUGGCCUACCAAGGCGGCGACGGGUAGCCGGCCUGAGAGGGUGGACGGCCACAUUGGGACUGAGAGGCGGCCCCGACGCCGACGGGAGGAAGAAGUGGGGAAUAUUGCACCAUGGGCGCCAGCCUGAUGCAGAGACGCCGCGUGGGGGAUGACGGCCUUCGGGUUGUAGACUCCUUUCGCUAGGGACGAAGCUUUUUGUGACGGUACCUAGAGAAGAAGCACCGGCUAACUACGUG
rnacentral:rRNA from 1 species